rnacentral:tRNA from 1 species
UCACCUCUGGCCUAAGCGGUAGGGCGGCAGGCUUUGAUCCUGUGAGUGCAGGUUCGAGUCCUGCGGGGUGAUCCA